rnacentral:lncRNA from 1 species
CUCUCUCGUCCAAUCAGAUCGCAGCAUUCUUUUCAAAGCGGCGUCCUUUGAAAUUCGAUCCUCGUAACUGGUCUAAUCCUCCGCUCGCCUCCGCGUGACUCAAGACGGAGAAGCUGAACCAGUGCGUAUACGUCUUGAUUUAUUCAUGUUUAAUGCGAAUAUUUGGAAGUUAUACUUAGAAAAACGCCAAGUCGAUCGAUAUAAAGGUUGAAGAGAAUGCAGGUGAAAGAUCUUUAGUUUUGCUGGCAAAAUGAUUGUUUCCAGCAGCAACUUGAUGAGGCACAAGGCUCUGUUUUCUUACCACCACUAAUAUUAAACUAUAGUGCACAAGAGGUGCAAGUUUUAAAAGGGAAUUUAGUGGUCCGAGUUUUAAAAGGGAAUUUAGUGUUCACUGGCUAAUUGUCUAAAGUUUAAAAUAAAAUAAUCACCACAUCAAAAUAAAAACUAACCAUUUUUGUAUUGCUUUAAUCACUGUUGGGUGUAACAAUAUUGAUAUAUUUUCAUUGCUGGUACUUUGUUUUAGAUAUUAUACAAGUUGCUCGAAUGUUGAAAUAAAGCAAUAUCAAUCAAUAAAAAUAUUUCUUUGAUUUUUUCUUCUAAUGAAUUUAAACUAUCAGUCUACUAUUAGUUGGCCUCAUGUAAUAGACAAAGAUAUAAACAAAAAUAUGUAUUAAUGAAAUUUUAUUUAGAAUCAUACUAAGUGCAAUAACUUAUUUUCAUUUCCCCAAUUUUCCUGUUUAAGCUCUACCUGGUAUAUAAGCAAUAAUGUGCCAAAAAAGAAAGAAACGAGGCUGGCAUACGGAAAUUGCAAGUACUACUGUUUUGUGUACACGGCUGUGAAUUGAAUGUGUCAUUCCUAGAUGAAGGUAAAUUUCCUUUACACG